rnacentral:rRNA from 1 species
AGCGAACGCUGGCGGCAGGCCUAGCACAUGCAAGUCGAGCGGACGUAGCAAUACGUCAGCGGCAGACGGGAGAGUAACACGUGGGAACGCGCCCUUCGGUUCGGGAUAACCCAGGGAAACUUGGGCUAAUACCGGAUACGCCCUUACGGGGAAAGAUUUAUUGCCGAAGGAACGGCCCGCGUCCGAUUAGCUUGUUGGUGAGGUAACGGCUCACCAAGGCGACGAUCGGUAGCUGGUCUGAGAGGAUGACCAGCCUCACUGGGACUGAGACACGGCCCAGACUCCUACGGGAGGCAGCAGUGGGGAAUAUUGGACAAUGGGCGCAAGCCUGAUCCAGCCAUGCCGCGUGGGUGAUGAAGGCCCUAGGGUUGUAAAGCCCUUUCGGCGGGGAAGAUAAUGACGGUACCCGCAGAAGAAGCCCCGGCUAACUUCGUGCCAGCCGCCGCAGUAAAAC